rnacentral:tRNA from 2 species
GGGAGCGUAACUCAAUUGGCAGAGUAGCGGACUUUUAAUCCGAAGGUUGAGGGUUCGAUUCCCUCCGCUCCCACCA